rnacentral:rRNA from 1 species
UACGUAGGGUGCGAGCGUUAAUCGGAAUUACUGGGCGUAAAGCGUGCGCAGGCGGUUUUGUAAGCCAGAUGUGAAAGCCCCGGGCUUAACCUGGGAAUGGCAUUUGGGACUGCAAGGCUUGAGUGCGGCAGAGGAGACUGGAAUUCCUGGUGUAGCAGUGAAAUGCGUAGAUAUCAGGAGGAAUACCGAUGGCGAAGGCAGGUCUCUGGGCUGACACUGACGCUCAUGCACGAAAGUGUGGGGAGCGAACAGG